rnacentral:rRNA from 1 species
CCUACGGGUGGCUGCAGUGGGGAAUAUUGGUCAAUGGAGGCAACUCUGACCCAGCAACGCCUCGUGAAUGAUGAAGGUCUUCGGAUUGUAAAGUUCUUUGUUGGGGGAUGAACACCAUGACGGUACCCCAAUAGCAAGACACGGCUAACUACGUGCCAGCAGUCGCGGUAAUACGUAGGGGGCAAGCGUUAUCCGGAAUGACUGGGCGUAAAGGGUGCGUAGGUGGUUUAGUAAGUUGGCGGUGUAAUUCCGGGGCUCAACCUCGGCGCUACCGCCAAAACUAUUAGACUAGUGUGCAGGAGUGGUAAGUGGAAUUCCUAGUGUAGCGGUGGAAUGCGUAGAUAUUAGGAGGAACAUCAGGGGCGAAGGCGACUUACUGGACUGUAACUGACACUGAGGCACGAAAGCGUGGGGAGCAAACAGGAUUAGAUACCCUUGUAGUC